rnacentral:rRNA from 1 species
UACAGAGGGUGCAAGCGUUAAUCGGAAUUACUGGGCGUAAAGCGCAUGUAGGCGGAUAUUUAAGUCGGAUGUGAAAGCCCCGGGCUCAACCUGGGAAUUGCAUUCGAUACUGAAUGUCUAGAGUAUGAUAGAGGAGAGUGGAACUUCCGGUGUAGCGGUGAAAUGCGUAGAUAUCGGAAAGAACACCAGUGGCGAAGGCGGCUCUCUGGAUCAAUACUGACGCUAAAGUGCGAAAGCGUGGGGAGCAAACAGG